AAAAGAAUGAAAUCUUGCCAUUUGCAACUAGUGGAUGGAACUAGAGGGUAUUAUGCUAAGCAAAAUUAGUCAGAGAAAGACAAAUAUCACAUGACUUCACUCAUACGAAGACUUUAAGAGACAAAACAGACGAACAUAAGGGAAGGGAAACAAAAAUAAUAUAAAAACAGGGAGGGGGACAAAACAGAAGAGACUCAUAAAUAUGGAGAGCAAACUGAGGGUUACUGGAGCGGUUGUGGGAGGGGGGAUGGGCUAAAUGGAUAAGGACACUAAGGAAUCGACCCCUGAAAUCACUGUUGCACUACAUGCUAACUAACUUGGAUGUAAAUUAAAAGAAUAAAAUAAAAUUAAAAUUAAAAAAAAAAAGUGAACUUCAGGGCGCCUGGGUGGCCCAGUUGGUUGAGCAUCUGGCUCUUGAUUUCAGCUCAGGUCAUGAUCCCAGGGUCAUGGAAUCGAGCUUUGCUUUGGGUUCCACACGGAGUGUGGAGCCUGUUUAAGAUUCUUUCUCCCUUUCUCCCUCUGCUCCUCUCCCCCUCUCAUGUGUUCUCCCUCUCUCUCUCUCAGAUAAAAAAAAAAGUGAAUUCCAAGGGAGAAUGCUUGAGUUCUGAGGCUCUUCCUUCUCCACCUGCCACAUUCGAGAAGCCCAAGUCCCUGUGGACAUCACCCGGAGAAGGAGCCAUCCUCAGUGGGCCCUGAAUUCCUGACCCACGGAAUUGUGAGAAAUAAGAAAAUAGUUGCUGUUCGAAGCCACUGAGUUUUGGGGAUAGUCUGUUACACGGCAACAGAUAAGACAAACAGGAUGCGUUUAUGCAAUUCUUGCGGAGGGACAGUGCCACGCGGAGGAACAAGCACAAACAAUGAAGGUUAGAUGGACCUGGGUUCGAAUUCCUCAGCCACCAGGAGCAGUGUGAUGCUCGUUGCAGAAGCCUGGCCGCAUCCACUCCGUCCUAACCCUGUGGGCGCCUCCCUAUCUGCAAAUGUUCCAGGUUGCACAGCAUUUUGUAAAGUCCACGGGACUGAUGUAACCCCAGUGUCCAAAGCAGUGCUUGGCGCACAGUGUGUGCUCAGGAAGUACUUGUUGAAUAAACGAGAUGGACAGCCUAAGCCCAUUUGAAGGAGUAGCCCUCUAACAGGCGAGAGAUGAGCCGAGGCUGUGUGUUUGAACUUCUAUCACUACCGUCUGGAAGUCGGCACUCGCUAAGGGCGGACAUCUUUGGUGGCCUCAUCCAUGUUUGGCCCCUCCUGCGUCUCUGCUCACAGAAUCGCAAUUGUGCCCAGAGCAGCGGUGUGUCCAGCCCCCGGUGGUGGAUCCUGACUGGUCCACACUAGUCAUGACGACCCUCCAUCUUCCCAGCCUCCUUUGUGGCUAGGAAUGGCCAUGGAGCCUGUUUUGGCCAAUGAGACCAAAGUGGAAGCCUAUUGGUUAUGGGAAGGGUUUCUGGGAAAGUGUUAGCUUUCUUGGUAGAUGGAGGCCAAUGCAAUUGCACCUGUCCUUCCUCCUUCCUCCGCUGAAGGUGGAUGUGAUUGCUGGAGCAGGAGAAGCUGUCUUGUAACCAUGAGCAAGAGGCCAAGAGAACUGCAAAGAAGCUCUGAAACUUUUUAUAACUUCUUGUUAUAAAACAAAAACAAUUCCCCAAGUCAGUAUAGUCAGGUUUUCUUUUACAUGUGGCCAAAGAAUGCCCAAAUGAUACACAGGUUGUCUGGUUGAAAAAACUGAGUCAUGUAUGACACAUGAGCACGAAGGCUUAAAAGAGUUUCGGAGCCCUUACGUGUCCUUGAUUGAAGGGGUAAACUGGUAGAUUAAGUCCAAGAAACUGAAUUUUAUAGAAGACUUUUAUAAAGAGUGUCAGGAGUCAUGUGCUCAGCUUGUCAAUAAAAACAAGAAAAUC